UCAAGGAUUGCUGGACUGAAGGCCUCAGUUCAUCACUGGCUGUUGCACACAAGAUUCCUUUGAGUUUUCUGCCACAUGGGCCUUUCCAUGGGGUAGCUUGCAACAUGGUAGCUUAUAUCAUCAGAGAGAGCAAGCAAGAUGGCAAGACAGGGGGCAAGCCACAGAUCUACAUACAAAGGGAAGCGGUUUCCCAAAGGCAUGAAUACCAGGAUCCAGGGCUCAUUGAUGGCCACCUUAGAGGCUGCCUGUUGCAAAUGUCAAGCACAAAAAUCCAAAAUGAUUAUGAAUCUACAAUGACUCUUUAGACACAAAGCAACAAAACUGAACCAUUUAGUGAAAAAUCGUGUAUUACGUGUCUUCAUAAACAGACCUAGAUGACAUACUACAGUUCAAAUUCUGACUUUGCAAUGUACUAAAUGUACUAGUAAAUAGUAGUAGUACUAGUUAUAGUAUUUUGCGUGACUUAUGAAGGUCAAAUUUUGUUUUUGCCAUCGAUUUGGUAAUUGUAUGAACUAGGACAAGUCACUUCAUCUCAUUGUGUCUGUUUUGGUUUGGAAUGCAUUUUGCUACAAGUGACCGAAAACUACAGUGGCUCAAAGGAAAAAAGGGACUAUUUAAAAAACAAAACAAAACAAAACAAAAAAAACAAGACAAAGACAUCUGGAAGACAAACUACAAU